rnacentral:rRNA from 1 species
GACGAACGCUGGCGGCGUGCUUAACACAUGCAAGUCGAACGGAAAGGCCCUGCUUUUGUGGGGUGCUCGAGUGGCGAACGGGUGAGUAACACGUGAGUAACCUGCCCUUGACUUUGGGAUAACUUCAGGAAACUGGGGCUAAUACCGGAUAGGAGCUCCUGCUGCAUGGUGGGGGUUGGAAAGUUUCGGCGGUUGGGGAUGGACUCGCGGCUGAUCAGCUUGUUAGUGGGGUAGUGGCUUACCAAGGCUUUGACGGGUAGCCGGCCUGAGAGGGUGACCGGCCACAUUGGGACUGAGAUACGGCCCAGACUCCUACGGGAGGCAGCAGUGGGGAAUAUUGCACAAUGGGCGGAAGCCUGAUGCAGCAACGCCGCGUGCGGGAUGACGGCCUUCGGGUUGUAAACCGCUUUCGCCUGUGACGAAGCGUGAGUGACGGUAAUGGGUAAAGAAGCACCGGCUAACUACGUG